rnacentral:rRNA from 1 species
GGGUGAGUAACACGUGAGCAACCUGCCCCUGACUCUGGGAUAAGCGCUGGAAACGGCGUCUAAUACUGGAUAUGUGACGUGACCGCAUGGUCUGCGUCUGGAAAGAAUUUCGGUUGGGGAUGGGCUCGCGGCCUAUCAGCUUGUUGGUGAGGUAAUGGCUCACCAAGGCAUCGACGGGUAACCGGCCUGAGAGGGUGACCGGCCACACUGGGACUGAGACACGGCCCACACUCCUACGGGAGGCAGCAGUGGGGAAUAUUGCACAAUGGGCGCAAGCCUGAUGCACCAACGCCGCGUGAGGGAUGACGGCCUUCGGGUUGUAAACCUCUUUUAGCAGGAAAGAAGCGAAAGUGACGGUACCUGCAAAAAAAGCGCCGGCUAACUACCUGCCACCAGCCGCGGUAAUACGUAGGGCGCAAGCGUUAUCCGGAAUUAUUGGGCGUAAAGAGCUCGUAGGCGGUUUGUCCCGUCUGCUGUGAAAUCCGGAGGCUCAA